rnacentral:rRNA from 1 species
AUGGCCAUGGCCGCGGACGAUGAGAUGCUGCGCCGGUACCUCCGCUGGGGCCUGCCCAUCGAGAGCGGUUUUAGGUACAAGUUAACCCCGAGGCCGGACGAGCCCAUCUAUGUCACCGGCGUCUACCUGCUCGACUCGGCGAGCGCUGUCGGCCAGGGCGCCGUGGACGCCCGCGUCCAUACCGACGACACGCGGGACCUCGUUAGCGCGUUGCUGAGCGCAGAGAACCCCCGCGUGGAGCUACAGACACCGGUGCGGCUGGAGAUGGGCAAGGAGUGUUGCUUCCACGCGGUGCCGCAUGGAGGCGAUUCCGACGCAGAAGCAGACACGGACGCCGAUGCUGACAUCAGCGCAGACGUCGACGCAGAUACCGACGCCGACCCUGACACCGACGCGGUCAUCGUCAUGUUCGAGGGUUUCCUCGUUACUCCGCGACCUCUUGAUAUGGAGGAGGAGGACGACGCCGCCGAAGAGGAGGAGGAGAACGACGUCGCCGAAGAGGAGGAGACUGGCAGCGACGACUCCGAGGACGAGUACGAGAAGGAGGAGGAAACUGACGGCGAGGUUGACCAAGACGUGCCCAGGGCGAGCAGUGCCGGUGGCAACGCCAAGGAGCUUCGACAGGUUGUAGCUAUAACUAUGGCAUUCUUAGGCGUCCUUUUGUCUGUCUCUAUGUUAGCAUUCCUCGGAUUGAUAAUGUAA